GUUAUAUGGUCAAGCGAAUAAGCGCACACGGUGGAUGCCUUGGCGGUCAGAGGCGAUGAAGGACGUGGCAGCCUGCGAAAAGUAUCGGGGAGCUGGCAACAAGCUUUGAUCCGGUAAUGUCCGAAUGGGGAAACCCACCCGCUUGCGGGUAUCCUGCAGUGAAUACAUAGCUGCUGGAAGCGAACCUGGUGAACUGAAAUAUCUAAGUAACCAGAGGAAAAGAAAUCAACCGAGAUUCCGUAAGUAGCGACGAGCGAACGCGGACUAGCCCUUAAGCUGGAUUGGUUCUAGGAAAACGCUCUGGAAAGAGUGGCCAUAGAAGGUGAUAGCCCUGUAUCUGAAAGGGCCAUUCCAGUGAAGACGAGUAGGGCGGGGCACGUGAAACCCUGUCUGAACAUGGGGGGACCAUCCUCCAAGGCUAAAUACUACUGACCGACCGAUAGUGAACCAGUACCGUGAGGGAAAGGCGAAAAGAACCCCGGAGAGGGGAGUGAAAUAGAACCUGAAACCGUGUGCGUACAAGCAGUAGGAGCUCCGCAAGGAGUGACUGCGUACCUUUUGUAUAAUGGGUCAGCGACUUACUGUUCGUGGCAAGCUUAACCGUAUAGGGGAGGCGAAGGGAAACCGAGUCUGAUAAGGGCGCAUAGUCGCGGGCAGUAGACCCGAAACCGGGUGAUCUAGUCAUGCCCAGGGUGAAGGUGCGGUAACACGCACUGGAGGCCCGAACCCACUCCCGUUGCAAAGGUAGGGGAUGAGGUGUGAUUAGGAGUGAAAAGCUAAUCGAACCCGGAGAUAGCUGGUUCUCCUCGAAAGCUAUUUAGGUAGCGCCUCAUAUGUAUCCUCUCGGGGGUAGAGCACUGUUAUGGCUAGGGGGUCAUCGCGACUUACCAAACCAUUGCAAACUCCGAAUACCGAGACGGACUGUAUGGGAGACACACGGCGGGUGCUAACGUCCGUCGUGAAAAGGGAAACAACCCAGACCCACAGCUAAGGUCCCAAAUUUUGUGCUAAGUGGAAAACCAUGUGGAAAGGCACAGACAGCCAGGAGGUUGGCUUAGAAGCAGCCACCCUUUAAAGAAAGCGUAAUAGCUCACUGGUCGAGUCGGUCUGCGGGGAAGAUUUAACGGGGCUAAGCACAGAACCGAAGCUUGGGGUGCAUACUUUGUAUGCGCGGUAGAGGAGCGUUCCGUAAGCCGUUGAAGGUGGAUUGAGAAGUCUGCUGGAGGUAUCGGAAGUGCGAAUGCUGACAUGAGUAACGAUAAUGCGGGUGAAAAACCCGCACGCCGAAAGCCCAAGGUUUCCUUGCGCAACGUUAAUCGGCGCAGGGUGAGUCGGCCCCUAAGGCGAGGACGAAAGUCGUAGUCGAUGGGAAGCAGGUUAAUAUUCCUGCACCUCGCGUAAGUGCGAUGGAGGGACGGAGAAGGUUAGGUGUACCAGGCGUUGGUUGUCCUGGGGAAAGGCGGUAGGUUUGGAUCUUUGGCAAAUCCGGGAUCCUUUAAGACCGAGCACCGAGACGAGCCUUUAUGGCGAAGUCACUGAUACCACGCUUCCAGGAAAAGCUCCUAAGCUUCAGCUUACGCAGACCGUACCGUAAACCGACACAGGUGGGUAGGAUGAGAAUUCUCAGGCGCUUGAGAGAACUCGGGUGAAGGAACUAGGCAACAUGGCACCGUAACUUCGGGAGAAGGUGCACCCUUUUUGGUGGCUCGUGCGAGCUAUAGCUGAAGAGGGUCGCAGUAACCAGGCCGCUGCGACUGUUUAUCAAAAACACAGCACUCUGCAAACACGAAAGUGGACGUAUAGGGUGUGACGCCUGCCCGGUGCUGGAAGGUUAAUUGAUGGGGUCAGCCGCAAGGCGAAGCUCUUGAUCGAAGCCCCAGUAAACGGCGGCCGUAACUAUAACGGUCCUAAGGUAGCGAAAUUCCUUGUCGGGUAAGUUCCGACCUGCACGAAUGGCGUAACGACAGCGGCGCUGUCUCCACCCGAGACUCAGUGAAAUUGAAAUCGCUGUGAAGAUGCAGCGUUCCCGUGGCAAGACGGAAAGACCCCGUGAACCUUUACUAUAGCUUUACACUGAACGUUGAGUUCGUCUGUGUAGGAUAGGUGGGAGGCUAUGAAACCAUGGCGCUAGCUGUGGCGGAGCCAUCCUUGAAAUACCACCCUGUCGUGCUUGACGUUCUAACCUGGGCCCAUUAUCUGGGUCGGGGACCGUGUAUGGUGGGUAGUUUGACUGGGGCGGUCUCCUCCUAAAGAGUAACGGAGGAGCUCGAAGGUACGCUCAGCGCGGUCGGACAUCGCGCACUGUGUGCAAAGGCAUAAGCGUGCUUGACUGCAAGAUCGACGGAUCAAGCAGGUAGGAAACUAGGACUUAGUGAUCCGGUGGUUCUGUAUGGAAGGGCCAUCGCUCAACGGAUAAAAGGUACUCCGGGGAUAACAGGCUGAUACCGCCCAAGAGUUCAUAUCGACGGCGGUGUUUGGCACCUCGAUGUCGGCUCAUCACAUCCUGGGGCUGUAGUCGGUCCCAAGGGUAUGGCUGUUCGCCAUUUAAAGUGGUACGCGAGCUGGGUUCAGAACGUCGUGAGACAGUUCGGUCCCUAUCUGCCAUGGGCGUUGGAGAUUUGAGAGGGGCUGCUCCUAGUACGAGAGGACCGGAGUGGACGAACCUCUGGUGUUCCGGUUGUCACGCCAGUGGCAUUGCCGGGUAGCUAUGUUCGGAAGCGAUAACCGCUGAAAGCAUCUAAGCGGGAAGCGCGCCUCAAGAUGAGAUCUCCCGGGGCACAAGCCCCCUGAAGGAACCAUGUAGACUACGUGGUUGAUAGGUCAGGUGUGUAAGUACAGCAAUGUAUUGAGCUAACUGAUACUAAUGAUCCGUGCGGCUUGACCAUAUAACCU
rnacentral:rRNA from 1 species